rnacentral:rRNA from 1 species
UCCCCCUACGGGGCGCAGCAGUAGGGAAUUUUCGUCAAUGGGCGCAAGCCUGAACGAGCAAUGCCGCGUGAACGAGGAAGGUCUUCGGAUCGUAAAGUUCUGUUGAAGGGGAAAAAGAGCGGAGAGAGGAAAUGAACUCCGAUUGAUAUUACCCUUCGAGGACGUCACGGCUAACUACGUGCCAGCAGCCGCGGUAAUACGUAGGUGGCGAGCGUUAUCCGGAAUGAUUGGGCGUAAAGGGUGCGUAGGCGGCCUUCUAAGUC